CGCAGGGGGAGCCCCGCCUCUCGUGGGGACCCGGCGUGAGGACAAGAGGCGGGACCUCCGAGGCGAGGGAGGUGCGGAAGGAAAUACAGAGGACAGAGGAACAUAUUUAGCUGCACCAUGAACAUGUACUCAGCAAAAUCCAUAUUGUGGGGAACUCUACAGUCAAGGUCAAACUCUACAGGUCAAUGUAUUCUUCAACAGAUUCAUUGAAGAAAUUGCCAUCUGUCAAAGAAAGCCUGCUAGGAUCAAUGUAACACCACUCCCCACGGGCAGCUUGCUUCCAGUGACAACCGUAGCAAUCAAUGCUGAGAUCCAAAGUCUAGUGCCCUUGCGUCCAGGCCCGAGAUGAGGAAGUGGAAAUCUCAUGGAAUCAGACCAUUUUUGCCAGCCUUCUCUCCUGACCCUUUCACCUUGCACCAGUCCCAUACUGAGCAGUGCACCUUCUUGGGAACAGCUUGGCCAGAUUACACAGGUGUACACAGAAUAUGACUCAGCCAAACGAUUUCCUCUGAAUCUCUCCUGUAACUUAAAGCUAGCCAAGCCUCAUAAGAAUGUGCACCAUGGCGGGGUGUCUCAUCGGAGAAAAGUGAAGCUUAAAAAGGUCAGCAAGGAAGCCUGGAACAGGAAAUGGAAAGGGAACAGUUUUGGAGUGAGAUCUGGGAACUGCUCCCAGAUUCUAAUCUCACCAGCUGUGUGAUUUUGCUCCAGUUACCUAAUUACAUUUCUCAUUUGGAAAACUUGAAUAAUAUCUGCUCCAUGAUUGUGAAGAUUAACUGGAAUCAUGGAUCUGAAGUCUCUACUCAUUAGAUGCUGCUCUCGGAGGGAUCUCUCUUAAAUAUUGAGAUUGGUUUCCAUAUGUGACCUGUAAACUGACCUCAACCCAUCAACUCCAUAUCCAAAUUAUAUCCAGAAGCCAGUCACUUCCAACCACUUCCUAUGCGACUGCCUGUUCAAGUUGAAGCCAUUGUCAUCUUUCUCCAAGAUUAUUGUAGGUAGUA